rnacentral:piRNA from 1 species
UACUUCCAAAAUUCCAGGGUGUGGCU